AUUGAACGCUGGCGGCAUGCUUUACACAUGCAAGUCGAACGGUAACAGGGAGCUUGCUCCGCUGACGAGUGGCGAACGGGUGAGUAAUGCAUCGGAACGUGCCUAUUUGUGGGGGAUAACGUAGCGAAAGUUACGCUAAUACCGCAUACGCCCUGAGGGGGAAAGCGGGGGAUUCGUAAGAACCUCGCGCAAUUAGAGCGGCCGAUGUCGGAUUAGCUAGUUGGUGGGGUAAAGGCUCACCAAGGCGACGAUCCGUAGCGGGUCUGAGAGGAUGAUCCGCCACACUGGGACUGAGACACGGCCCAGACUCCUACGGGAGGCAGCAGUGGGGAAUUUUGGACAAUGGGCGAAAGCCUGAUCCAGCCAUGCCGCGUGAGUGAAGAAGGCCUCGGUUG
rnacentral:rRNA from 1 species